GUGGCAGCUGCAGCUGGAAGAGGAGGAGGAAAUAGAGCAGGGGAGGAAGAAGAGGCUGCGAGUGUGGUGGCUGCGGCCGUGGCUGCGACUCCGGCUGCGGCUGCGACGUUGGCUGCGGUAGCUGCGGCAGCGGUGGUGGCUGCAGUAGCUGCAGUAGCAGCUUUUGGGAAAGAGAAAGAGUAGGAACGAGAGAAGGGAAGAAGGAAAUAGUGCAGUGGAAGGGGGCUGCGGUUGUGACCGCAGUUGCGAUUGUGGCAGCGGCAGCGACGGCGGCUGUGGCAGCUGCGUUUGCGAAAGAAAAAGAAGGAAUGAGAGUAAGAGAGAGCAGGUGACUGUGCCUCGAUGUUCGACACGUGAUGUAGUUACGAAGAAAGGAAGAAAACGGGAGCACAAAACGAAACAGAGAGAGGACACGGAGGAAAAGUAGAAAGAUUGGACUGGCACCUUCCUUGGAUAUUCAGAUCAAAAUAUUUGAAAGGUCAGCUUGUCACUCUUCGAGAUGUUUGAUUUGGGCUGAGGCAGUGGAUAGCUAUUCAGAAUUAUGGGCAAGUCCUGUUGGUUGUUAUGCUAUUGUUGUAUAAGCAUAUUUUGUAUGUAAUGAAUUGUUCUGAUGAUCGAAAUGGAUAUACUGUGUAAAAGUGUUAGAAGAUCUCUCUUAUUUGGAAUUUCGGAAUGUUAAGUCUAAUUUAUGACGAUAUGAACUUGUGGUGAAUAGUUGGAGUUCUGAUUGUAUAAUUUAUUUAGCUUGUGGAUUUAUAAAUGUUGUUCAUGUUUGUCAA